UAGGGAUGUCAGGGCUCCGGAGCCCCCCCCGAGCCCCGGCUAACUCUAUCUGUAGGGGGGCA
rfam:Felis catus breed Abyssinian Contig11081.1, whole genome shotgun sequence. [26-MAY-2016]